rnacentral:rRNA from 7 species
GUAUUGAAGGUGAUGCCUGCCCGGUGACGUGGUGUUAAACGGCUGCGGUAUCCUAACCGUGCGAAGGUAGCGCAAUCAAUUGUCCCGUAAAUCGGGACUAGUAUGAAUGGCUAAACGAGGUUCUAACUGUCUCUUACAGGCGAUCGGUGAAAUUGAUCUCCCUGUGCAAAAGCAGGGAUAAACCCAUAAGACGAGAAGACCCUGUGGAACUUUAAAAUCAGCAGCCACCCCUAAUUACAUGCUCCCCCAACUCGGGCUCACUUACUACACGGGCUAUUGGCUUGCAAUUUUUCGGUUGGGGCGACCUUGGAGCAAAACAAAACCUCCAAAAAUUGGACCAUACAUCCAGACUAAGAGCAACCUCUCAACGUGCGAAUAGCAACCAGAUCCAAUAAAAUUGAUCAAUGGACCAAGCUACCCCAGGGAUAACAGCGCAAUCUCCUCCGAGAGUCCAUAUCGACGGGGAGGUUUACGACCUCGAUGUUGGAUCAGGACAUCCUAGUGGUGCAGCAGCUACUAAGGGUUCGU